UCCACCUCCUCCUAGUUAGGUUUAGCAUUGGAUUAGCUCAUAUUUGUGUGAGAUCCUUUGCUCAUCCACUUGGAUACUUCUCCUCGGAGUUCACGACCUCUUCGGAGAAGAUCCCCCAAGCGGAUUCAAGACCCCUUUCUAGGGAAGAACAUCAAGGCCUCCUCGCGGAGAAGACGGUUCCUUUGUAUCCUUACCUUUGUUGAUCUUGAACCUUGUGCUACCUUAUGUGUGUGAUGACCUAGCACUUGUGCGAUUGAUUCCUUGUCGGUUUAGUGAUUCUCUCUCAUUUUCCCCGUGUUUCCCCUUUGUGCUUCCGCGUGUUCUUCGUGAUUCCCCGUAGGAUCCGCUCCAAACGUGAAAGAUCGACGCUAUAGGGUUCCACCCUACAUCAUCUUGGUAUCAUGAGCCACGUUGAUCACGUUUUUGGAGCCCCUACCCUUUGUUUUCUAGCUUGAUUUUGUUGAUUUCGUCCUAAAUCCGAAAAUCCCCACCAAAAAUAGCCCCAAUUUUUUUUUGUGAUUUGUUGCUUUGAUGAUGUUUUGUUGAUUUUGAUGCAUGGAUUUGCUUGGUUUCAAGUGGAUCUAGCAUUCCCCCAAGUUUCCCCUUUUCUCAUCCACGAAAUCCAUCCAAUUUUGGCCCCGAAAUCAUCCAUUUCCGCCCCAAAAUCGCGACCCGAGUCGAUCUGCGAAAAAUCCCGAAAUGAGCAGUACUUCCGCCCCUCCGAGCGGUACUACCGCUGAGUACCUCGAGCGGUACAACCGCCCUCACAAGCGGUACUACCGCCCCUCCCAGUUUUAGCGUUCCGAGUUUCACCGUUUUGCCCAUAACUAAUUUAUCCGGAGUCCGUUUUUGACGUUCUUUAGCUUGUUUUGAAGCUAUUGACAUCCCCCAUCCCACAAAAAUACCACCAACAUCAUUUGACUCCAUAAAAUUUUCUAAAAUUUGGCAAGUUUGCCUAGGCCUUCCACCAUAUCAUCCGCAUAGCCACCAUCGACUUCCGCAACCUAACCCAUUUUCAUCCCCAUAGCAUUUGUGGUUGCUUGAGGAGUGAUUAGAGUCUCCUAAGGUGUUUCGGCUACUUAGGGACAAUUGCUUCUUCAUCAACCACCUCCUCCACUUCCGCAUUUGCCUAGUGCAAAACCACCACCGAUUUCCGCUACCACCAUUUGACAUUUGUCAUUUGAGAUUUUGAGUUCGCGGUUUUUGCGUUUCCUAAGGUGUUUCGGCUACUUAGGGACGAGUUCCAUCAUCUUGGUAUCUACAUCAUGAACACCGCGAAUCAUCAUCACAAAGGACGGUAACCUCGACGACUCCAUUGUAUAUUCCCCUUGCAAAUUGCAUUGAUAACCCCUAGCCCAUUUUGCGUUACUUGCCUAUCGAGACUAGCCAUUUGGGUAUUUCCGGCAACGUUACUUGUGCACAUUAGUGAUCUACACCAUCCAGUGCAUACAUACCAUAUCAUCUUGGUAUCAUAUCAUCCAUUGUGUCUCAAGUUUGUUCCCGCAUAUACACAAUUGCUAUUUUGGUUUGUACAUUGUGCAAAAGUGGCCAUAGAAAAAAAAUAUGUAAUAAUAAAGCUUUUAAGCAAAAGAGAAAGAGCAAAGAAGCUUGUAAGCAAGUGCCAUAGCAUCAUACCACAUUGCAUAAGAUUGCCAUAUCCGAUCAUCUUGGAUCAUGUUGAGAGAAAUACCGGGAACCAUACAUACAUAGCAUACUUGGGAUAGAAAGUUUAUCCAUUUUGCAUCUUAUAGGUUGUGCACAAGUGUCGUAUCCGCCUAUUAAGCAAUCGUGCUAGCGUCUCUCUUGAGUUGUGCAACACGAUCCUUUUUCGUGGGUUCCACAUUUUGUGCUCAUUCCUUGGUUGCAUGACCCCAUUUAUCUAUCCGUGUGUGUGUUUCUGUGUGCCAUUCUUUGCUAUUGGUCUACUUGUUUCGCUUGCGAAUUUGUGAAUCUCUUUCAACAUUAUUGACUCUUGCUAACAUUUUGCAUUAAAUUUUUGUGCCACUAUCCUCACCGAGCUCCACCAUAAGCUUUACUUGUGUAGGUGUGAGAACCGACAAGAAUUGGUACCAAUAGUGCUAUUUCAUUGUCCGCAUUUGAGUGAACUUGAUUCAUUGUCAACAUCGGUCAAGGUACAUUGGUAUAAGUUCUUCUCUUUCUCCCACUCAUAUUUGCUCGAGUCUUGUGAUGGAUAGGCAAGGCAUUUCCUCUUCGGUCCUCGACAAAAACGACGGCGUGAACAACUACAUCAUCAAAGCGUCUAUCUUCGAUCUACAACGACAAGUGCAAGGCACACAAUCAAGAUUGCGAGAGCGCAUCGAGAACAUCUCCAUCGACAUUCAUCACUCUGAAGCAAGGAGAAGGGACUACAUUGACAAGAAGUUUGCCGCACAUAAAGAGGAGCAAGAUGCAAGGAUGGAGGAGAUUCGGACCUCGCUCAAGUCUACUUCCCCUUCAUCAUCUUCAAGGCGGCGACAUUCAAGCCACAAGUCUUCGGAGCGCAAACAAGAUGCAAGCACAAGUCGUCCAAGUCAACAUCUACAUGGUGACCACCAUCACGUUCGUGAUCAAUAUCGUCAUGAAGGGCAAGUCACCUCCAAGCAUCAUGUGCACGACGAUGAUGAACGCCAAGGAGCUCAAGCACGACAACGACAUCAUCAUCAUCAUGAAGAUGCUCCACAAGCGCAAAUGCACAAGUCCCAGCAACCCCUACUUCACGCCAAGUCGAAGCUUCAUAAGCAAAAGAGAAGACCGCGAGACGAGCACCACCAAGACGGCGCUACGGCUACAACAACCACUUCGGCAUCUUCACCAAGUGCUAUCAAGGCAUCUUCGCCUUUGGACAUACGGCAUCUUCACCUACUUCACAUGUGUACGCCUACAUCGACUUCAUCAAGUCCAAGGCGACCACCUACUAGCGAGGGCGACACUUCCAUCUUCGGAAGCCCCCCAAGGAAGAUGGCCGAGCAUGGGAAAUUCCCUUCGGUCAUGGAGACGAGCUACGAGGUGCCACAUCAUAUGGGCCUCCAACACCAAGACGGUGACAAGACGGUCGAGCAAGGGCCAUCCCCUUCGACCAUGGCGACGAGCGCAAACCUCUUCAACAACAUGAAGACGGCGCCCACAUUGGACUCCUCAUCUGAGUCAAGCUAUGCGACCGCGCAUGGAGACUCUUACACCUACACCUCUCCGACACCCACAUAUGUUGAGAUGUCCCAUUUGUCAUGUGAGGAGAGCCACCACCCCAUGAGUGACAUGAGUGACUCCACCAUACGUGACAUUGAGAGCAUUUCCUAUGAGAGGAUGAGUGUGACCACCACUAGCCCCACACAUGAGAGCAUGCCACACAUCCUAUGUGAGGUUGAGCGCCAUUCGAGUGACUCCACCAACCAUAUGAGUGAGAGCAUCCUUGAGAUAGUGAGUGAGCCACAACACAUAGUGAGUGAGGUAGUUGAGACGGCAUGUGAGGCCACUAUGGUUUCUAACGACUUAACCUCUACUCCUAGUGUGUUUUCUUCUUUGUUGCUAGGUCUCCUACAUGACGACAUGCCUACCCUCGAUGAGUCCAUACCUCCAACGAACAAACCGAUGGCCAUGGUGGACGAUGAUGCACCCCCACAUGGUUCCAUCAAUAUGAAGAUGACAACGAGACGAUCUUCAACACCUCACCUACAACACAUGAGCGACGCUCCAAAGGUAACAUAGGUGAUGGUGCUUCUCUUGUCCCACUAGUGGACUCUCUUGACAUUGAUUGCUCCCAUGAUGUUGAUCCACCUAUUCCCAUGCUUCAUGCUAGUGAGACUUCUUCAUGCCUUGACUUACCUAUUUAUGAUGAAUAUGAUGAUGAGCAUGUUGAGUUGCCUAGUUGUGAUGCUAUGCUCCAUAGGAUAUCAUGUGAAAAUUCUUUUGGUCACAUCAUGUUUGACAAUCCAUUGAACUUGUCAUAUGCUAUGAGUGAGAUCUCCCAUAUUGCAUCAUUACAAUCUCAACAUAGUAACUAUGCAUGUCCCAUUAAAAUCAAUCCCAUUUGCAUUUAUGGCAUAGAUGACGAGAUGAUGGUCAUUGGCUUUUGUUUUUCAUGUGAUGAUAUUGCCAUGCUUCGUUUAAAUGAUUUGCUCAAUUCAUCUACUAUGCCAUGCCAUGAUCACAUUGUUCCAAAUAUGCUUUGUUUUGGAUGUUGUCAAUAUUCUCCAUGUGAUGUUGCUACUCAUGCUCAUGAGGAGACCCUCAUAGUUUCCUCAUACACAUUAGGAGAUUUUGAUGCAUUCCAUACUUUACAAGAUUCACAUAAUUGCUUGCACCAUAUGCACUCCAUGAAUAACAAUGCUCUAGAUAUUUCUCAUGAUGCAUUACAUCCUUUGAGUCUCCAUUAUGUCAUACAUAAUAACAAACCCAUCAUGAUGGAUGACAUGUUUUUAUAUCACGCAUCUCAUUUAUUUGAGCAUUGGCUAUUUAGUACUAACCAACACAUGCACGUGCACAUCAUGAUGGAUGAUGUGUACAUAUACCAUGCACACACAAUUUUCUCUUUGUCUUUGUUUUGUGUAGGUACUUAUGAACACUCUUCAACCUCACAAUCCCAUGAGUUGACGAAAAGAGCUCUUGAGAGCAACGACGACUUGGGAUCCCGUGGACUAUCCUUACCACCGUUCCCUUCGCGCAAGGACUACGCGCGUCUCUUUUACUUGGCUCUCACACGGCUAUGGGCCAUUUACAACUUGUCACCUUAUGCUCAUUUUACCGUGUUCACUUUGCAUGUUAUACUUGCUUCUAUGGCUUUGCCAUACAAUUGUGACCCAUGCUUGCAUCUACCCAUGAUUGACCCUAUGUGUAUUUGCAUGCUUGGUGGAGAUCUUUGUUUCUAUUGCCAUGUUUAUCAUGUGCUCCAUGCUUUCGAUGCUUGUUGUGUUGGGAGAGUCAUGAUGCCCCAUUGCUAUUUACAUAUGGUCUCUUGCCAAUACAUUGAUGAUAUUUUUCUCAUAUUCUUGCUUUCAUGCUUGUGCUAUGUCAUGUCCAUUAUGCAUGCCCACUAUUUGAACACAUGACAUGCUUGCCAUGAUUCCUUCUAGUAUGUUGCAUCUUCGCACUACUAGCUUGCUUGACUUGAUUGAUAUGAUUGCUUGCUAUGUUGCAUCCCCCAUGUUCCACUAUUACUUGCUUUCUUGGGUUGAUGACAUAUAUGCUCAUGCCUCUCACAUGAUAUAUCUUGAUCAUUGUAUCUUGUGUCCAUUAGUUGCCUCUUUCAUAUCCACUUGUAUUGAGUGCAACCAUACUAUGCUUAUUGAUCUUGGAGACUUUGACAUAUUACUUGUGAUGCAUGCUUGUUUGAUUGAGCCUAUUGCAUUUGGUUGUUCUUGCAUCAUAUGCCUCCAUACUAUGAAAUACUCCCUUGUACUUUCUUAUGAUGAGCAUGAUGCAUACACUUGUUGGGUAUCUUACCACACGAAUGAUAGGUUUUGCACUUCCGCUAACCUCAUUUGUUUUUCCGAGUGUUUGUCAUGUUCUUUCAUUUUGAAGGAUUCACAAGGCGGUGCCGUUAUGCGACAUAUUGGGUAUGUGAAGACAUACAUGAUGUACGACUCCAACAUCUUUGGGAACUUUCUUGAGGUGAACUCCUUCCCUUUGAGCCAUCCUCAAAUACGCAUAUUGGAUGGGUCAUUCUUUCAUUGUUGUUUCCUUCUUGUUGUCUACAUGCUACAUCUCAGGAACAGAGGAGCGACAUUGGAGAUUGGCUACAUGGACCUUAAAUUUGAGGAGCGCUCGCACUUAUUGGAUGAACCUUCGGUCUUCCACUCAUGCCCCGACAUCGAGCUUUGGUACACCAACACCUCCAUAUUUGUUGAUUGUGCUCAUACAUGUCAUGCUCGAUGGACAUAUCAUACUCACCACAAGUUUGCAACCUAUGCAUGGAUUGACUCACAUUAUGAUUACCUUGUUGCAUCUUGUAUUCCCAUGUCAUCCGUGAUAUAUGAACUUGUGCACUUCCUUAGCAAAUUUGUUGUGAUCUACCUUGAUGUCAUAUUCAUACAUCAUAAUCAUAUUGUCCACCAUCAAUUGCAUGAUAAUAUCCACAUGUUGAGCAUCCAUUGCCAUGUUCAUGCAUUUGAUAAACCAUCCUGUCGGUGUACUAGAGUAGGGGUACCCUAGUAUCCCGAACUUGUGCACGGGCAGUUGCAGCACCCCGCGGCAAGGCUUGCCGGGCGACCGCCAAGGUCCUCCGCGGUUCCCUUGGAGCCAUUCAAGAACAAAGUAUUUAAGCCAAGGAGACAAGGCCCCGGCAAGAGGAGCUUGCCGGGAAGGCCAACCAAGGCAUUUCGAGGAACUUGCCGCAACGCGCCACGCGUCCCGGCAAGGCCCGGUGAGCGACAAGCUUCCGGACGCGACAAGACAACAGCCGCGGCAGGCUACCACUCUGUACCCACGCUCCAGCACAUCCACCAACGUGUCGCUCUGGGGGCCUUUCCAGGCGCGCAUGGCGGGAGGCUGUGCAGCCAGCGGUGCGCGGUGGCAUGCGAAGCUGACAAGACUGCCAUCGUGGCGAGCGGUGGCGCCCCUGACGGUCCCUUUUUACACUGUUUGGGCGACGUAGACGGGCAUUUAAUGCCUUUGUCCCCUGCCGUCAGGGUUAGGUAGGAUGCACUGUGCAGGUGGUUGUACCAACCGCAACCCCUUUUCCAUUUUUACCCUUCUCUGCGUUGCCACCUGUCGGUGACCCCUUGAACAUAUAAAAGGAGGCCCAUGCGCAACGUAGGGGGGUUCGCUUCAGUCGGGAACCAGAGAACACUCACGCUCGGUCUCGUGUGUACUGUAGCACUCAGCGCACCCGAGCAAGAACUCAAUACGAUCAUACAAGCAGCAGUAGGAGUAUUAUCUCUCUGGAGAGCUCCAAAGCUGGGUAAACUGCUCGUGUGCUUCGCCUCGAUCCGCUCUUCGUGCGAUCUCCGCCCUCCCGCCGAACCGAAAGGGGCUCGGUCCACCGGCCCCAUAGGUGUUCGUGGAUCAGCUUCCCCGACAUCUUUGGCGCGCCAGGUAGGGGGGCGUCGAGGUUGUGUGAACCUGAUCCGGCGUUCACAUGAGCCAGAUCUCCAUUUUCUUCAUUGACAUGCCACCGAAGAAGAAAACUUCGGCGGCAGCUGCUCCGUCCACGUCACUUCCACCACCACUGGAGCAAAUGGGUGGUGGAGUAGACGCCGGCGGAAGAACGGAUGUAGACGAGGAAGCUCACAACGCUGCCAGGUCCAAGGACAAGGCUGCACAAACCUUGGCGUGCGUACAUGUAUCGCACCCAUCUCAGGAGGCGCAGGAGCGACAGCGUCAUGGUACUCGCAGUACCAUACGUUUGUUGGGCCAAGAUCGAGCUGGUGGAUCUCGGGGUGCUCAAGACCAGCAUGCACGCCAACAUGCUGGCACGAGCGAGGCACAGUCGCCUGGACGGGAUACUGCUCCUUCUAACAUAGUUAGAAGUCCGAGCAUAUCCCGCUCCUCGCACCGUUCGCCACUGCCGCCCACCACUCCAGCAGAAUCUUUGGCGCGAGCUCAACUGCUCCUGGAUUACCCUCCAGCGGAAGACAAGAUCGACCAAUGGAGGGCCACCAUUCAGAGUCUCAUCGGCUUUGCCAACGGCGACACUCCGCGGCAGCCAAGUGAUCGCGGCCGCGGCAGGACUGCCAGGCAUGAGCCGGUGGCGACGAAACCGGUGGGGGUGCAACCACCAUGCACUCUCCAUCCCGAAGGCCAAGAUCGCCGACUCGUCGGAUCCACCUCGACAGCGACUCCACCGCAUCGUCAGAUCCACGAGCUCGUCGCGAUCAGCGCCAAGUUCUUCACGAACGACAACAAGAAGACGCUCGUACUCGCAUCGAGCGCCGAAGAGAAGCGCGAUGUCAAUCCGACAAGCGCGCUGGACCCUCUGUUGACAUGCAUGCGCCAGGGGAACCAGGUGACUUGCCGUACGCGGUAGGUUGCCCUGCGUUCACUCGUGAGCUGCGGCAAGUCCAGUGGCCCAGCAUGAAGAAUUUCAAGCCAGAUGUACCAGAGAAGUACGACGGCAAGUCGCAUCUGUCGGAGUUCCUCAGCAUCUACACCAUCGCGGUGCAAGCUGCUGGGGGGCGGGACGACAAGAUCCUUGCCAACUACUUCCCGCUGGUGCUCAAGCCCAAUGUUAGAUCCUGGCUCAUGCACUUGCCGGACAACUCUAUAUCCUCCUGGGCUGACCUGUGCCAUCAGUUUGUCGGCGCCUUUACAGGCGGCCACAAGCCUCAUGGCCAGGAGAGCGACCUUCAUCUGCUCGCCCAGAAGGAAGGAGAGCCCCUGCGCAAGUACAUUCAGAGAUUCAGCCGCGUACAGCACAACAUCCCAGAUGUCCACCCUACCGCGGUGAUCAGCGCGUUCCAUCAGAACGUGCGGAACCGCAGGAUGCGGGAGGAGAUGGCGAUGUGCAAGAUCAGAGACGUCAGUGAGCUAUAUGCCCUGGCCGACAAGUGUGCACGCGCUAAGGAAGGGAGGAAACUCCCCGGAGAAAAUAUAGGAGCAGGAGGAUCUGAUAGUGAGGAGACUGCCCCGACAAGGAAGAACCGGAGGCGGAACAACAGGAAGAAGAAAGGCAAAGAUGUGCUAGUUGUUGAGCAGUCCGGCAAGAAAGCCGAAGCUGGUAGCUCCGGCAAGGAGGUUGCCGCAGCUGUGGCGGUCGCCGACAAGCAGGACAACACCAACAAGCAGUAUUGCAACAUCCACCGCACCAAGAGCCAUGACCUCCAGAGCUGCAAGAAGGUCGAGCAGCUUGUUGAGCAGCAAAAGGCUGAAUACGAGCGGCGCGACAAGGAGAAAGCCCAGGAAGGUGCUGGAGGAGCUGGCAAGAAACGUCCCGGCCGAGGAGGACGCCGCGGCAAGGCCAAGCAGCGGCAAGGAGACAGACCUCCCCGUGGCUGCGACAAGGAUGAAGAUGACGAUGACGAUGAAGAUAUGGAUGAAGAUGAGACCGAUGAGCAGGAGUUCCAGAAAGCCACGGAGGUCCUGUGCGUUGACGGUGGUGCUUCUCUGCAUACUUCACACCGCCAGCUCAAGCAGUGGGUGCGGGAAGUCAAUGCAGCAGAACCACCCAUCGAGUCACACAAGCCUCUGAAAUGGUCCAACACGCCUAUCAUCUUUGAUAUUGAGGACCACCCUGAUCGCAUAACUGCGGUCGGGUGCUUGCCGAUGUUGGUUUCACCAACUAUCCGCAACCUCAAGGUCACUAAGAUGCUAGUAGACGGCGGGGCCGGCUUGAACUUGAUCUCCUCCGCGGUACUCCAGAAGCUUCAGAUCCCUGAUGGCGAGCUCGAAGAGACCGACACAUUUCAAGGAAUCAAUCCGGGAAGGAGCAAGCCGAAGGGAAAGAUCACAUUGUCGGUAACAUUUGGCAGCGAGUUGAACUUCAGGACUGAGAGGGUCACUUUUGACGUUGCUGACUUCCCAUUGCCUUACAAUGGGAUACUUGGCCGUCCAGCACUCGCCAAGUUCAUGGCAGCCUCUCACUAUGCAUACAAUGUACUGAAGAUGCCAGGCCCGAUAAGUGUCAUCUCUGUCCCUGGCGACAAGAAGGAUGCCCUUAUCUGCGCUGACAAGAUCUACCGGGAAGCAGCAGCCGCAACAGACCGCAAGUCACUUGCCGCUGAAGCUCCCAGGGCGAAGAAGAAGACCAAGUCUGGCAAGAGCUCUGAUGGCCACUCCGGCAAGCGUACCUCUUCGGAGUGCUGCGCUACCGUCGAGGGCGCACCAUCGAGCUCCACCGGCAAGUGUAAGAAGACAAUGGCAGCUCCACCAGAGACCAAGAAGGUGUCUGCCAAGGAGGACGGCACUGGUGGUACCUUCACCAUCAGUGCCACUCUCGACCCUAAAUAGGAAAGCGCGCUCGUUGCUUUCCUGUGGGCGAACGUCGACGUGUUUGCAUGGCAACCGUCUGACAUCCCCGGUGUUCCCAGGAAAGUAAUCGAGCACCAUCUCGCCGUCUGCCCUCAUCCGCGGCCCGUUAAGCAGAAAGUCAGGAAACAGGCAUUGGAGCGCCAAGAAUUCAUUGCAGAAGAGAUCAAGAAAUUGGAAGCAGCAGGCCUUGUCAGAGGAGUGCUCCAUCCUACGUGGUUGGCCAAUCCUGUAGUCGUGCGCAAGGCAAACGGGAAAUGGAGGCUUUGUAUUGACUUUACCGAUGUUAAUAAAGCUUGCCCCAAAGACCCAUUUCCCUUGCCACGCAUCGACCAGAUUGUUGACUCCACGGCCGGAUGUGACUUGCUUUCAUUUCUUGAUGCAUACUCAGGAUAUCAUCAGAUCUUCAUGGCAGAAGAGGAUGAGGAGAAGACCGCAUUCAUUACCCCAUGUGGCACAUAUUGUUUCGUACGGAUGCCUUUCGGUUUGAAGAAUGCUGGUUCAACAUUUGCAAGGGUAGUCCAUGACGCUUUUGAAUCGCAAAUGCACAGAAAUGUGGAAGCCUACAUGGAUGACAUAGUGGUCAAGAGCAAGGACAGAGCGACUCUGAUUCAAGAUUUAGACGAAACCUUUGCAAAUCUGCGCAAGAUCAACCUCAAGCUCAACCCCGAGAAGUGCGUGUUUGGAGUCCCCUCCGGCAAGCUUCUCGGGUUCUUUGUGUCUCAACGCGGAAUUGAGGCCAAUCCCGACAAGAUCAAGGCCAUUGAGCAGAUUGAAGCACCGAAGCGCGUCAAGGAUGUACGAAGACUUGCCGGUUGCGUGGCUGCUCUCAGCAGGUUUAUCUCUAGGUCUGCUGAGCGUGCCCUGCCAUUUUUCAAAAUAUUGAAAAAGGCAGGUCCAAUGAAAUGGACUCCGGAGGCGGAGGCUACGCUGCAGGACUUGAAGAGAUACCUGUCCUCCACUCCAACACUUGUAGCACCUAAACCACAAGAGAAGUUGCUGCUAUAUAUAGCGGCAACCAAUCAAGUGGUUAGUGCUGCGUUAGUGGCGGAGAGGGAGGCGGAUGAUGAGCCAGCAAUCACGGCAGAUGCAUCCAGCGACAAGCAAGGGACUUCACCGGCAAGCUCUGGUCCUGACAAGGAUGGAUCUGCGUAGGAGCAUCAGAAGAUGCAGAAGAGAAUGGUGCAGCGCCCAGUUUACUUUGUCAGUUCCCUUCUGCAGGGGGCUAGGUCAAGGUACUCUGGUGUGCAGAAAUUGCUUUUCGGCCUCCUCAUGGCCUCGAGAAAGCUGCACCAUUACUUCCAAGCACAUGAGAUCACAGUCGUCACUCGUUUUCCGCUGAAGAGGAUACUGCAAAAUCCAGAAGCGAUAGGCAGGAUUGUCGAGUGGGCGCUGGAACUGUCAAGCUUUGGCCUCAAGUUUGAAAGCACUUCAACUAUCCAAAGCAGAGCAUUGGCAGAGUUCAUAGAAGAGUGGACACCAACACAAGAUGAAGAAAUUCCAGAGACGAGCAUCCCCGUCAAGGAAGCAAGCAGAGAGUGGCUGAUGUACUUUGAUGGUGCCUUCUCGCUGCAAGGCGCCGGUGCGGGCGUGCUACUUGUUGCACCCACCAGAGAGCACCUCAAGUACAUAGUCCAGAUGCACUUUCCCAAGGAGCAAGCAAUGAACAACACUGCAGAGUAUGAAGGAUUGCUUGCCGGUCUCAGGAUCGUAGAAGACCUUGGGAUCAAGAAGCUCAUUGUCAGGGGUGACUCACAGCUUGUCGUCCGCCAAGUGAACAAGAACUAUCAGAGUCCGUUGAUGGAAGCAUAUGUUGAUGAAGUGAGGAAGCUAGAAGAGCACUUUGACGGCCUGCAGAUGGAACAUGUUCCAAGAGCUCAGAACGACAUUGCUGAUGGCCUGUCAAAGUGCGCCGCACUGAAGUUACCUGUGGAACCAGGGAUCUUUGUGCUCAAGCUGACUCAACCGUCUGUAACACCAUCAACUGGACAGAGCAAGAAGAGGAAGUUGAUUUAUGGUGACUAUUUUCCGGCAGAGCUCCCCGAAGCCGCCGCCAAAAAGGUCAUCAAAAUCAACACCAAGGGUGCUGAGGAGCAGUCUGCUCCGACAAGCCCUAGGGUUUGUUCCGUUGAAGCAGACGCUCCCGACAAGUUUUGCUCCGGCAAGCUUGCCGGGGAACAUCAAGCUCCGGCUGAGCCGCAGGUUCUUGCCGUAGAAGCGGAUGUUCCCGCAGUAGCAGAUGUGCCUUUGGUCCUUGUUGUCGAGCCGCAAGCUCCAGCAUGGGCACAGCAGAUUGUCCUUUUCCUUCAGACAGGAGAACUUCCCGAAGAACAAGAAGAAGCGGAAAGAGUAGCCCGGCAGUCAAGUAUGUACCAGUUUGUCGACAACACACUGUACAGAAGAAGACUCAACGGUGUGAAAUUGAAGUGUAUUCACCGGGAAGACGAACAAAAACUGUUGGCAGAGAUACAUGGAGGCAUAUGUGGUCACCACAUUGGUGCAAGAGCACUUGCCGGCAAAGCAUUCCGGCAAGGUUUCUUUUGGCCGACAGCCCUCCAGGAUGCAACUGCACAAGUAACCAAGUGUGAAGCGUGCCAGUUCCAUUCCAAACAGAUACACCAGCCAGCUCAAGCUCUCCAGACGAUCCCUUUAUCCUGGCCAUUUUCGGUCUGGGGGCUCGAUAUCCUCGGCCCCUUUCCCCGAGCUGUCGGGGGCUUUGAGUACUUGUACGUUGCAAUCGACAAGUUCACAAAGUGGCCAGAAGUGGAACCAGUGAGGAAGCUGACAGCACAGUCAGCAGUCAAGUUCUUCAGGUCGAUUGUUUGCCGUUUCGGGAUCCCUAACAGAAUCAUCACCGACAACGGCACGCAAUUCACGAGCCGCACCUUCAUGCAAUACGUCCAAGAUCUUGGCAUCAAGGUCUGCUUCGCUUCUAUUGCUCAUCCGAGAAGCAACGGUCAAGCGGAGAGGGCAAAUGCUGAAGUGCUGCGCGGGCUCAAGACCAGGACUUUUGACAGGCUGCGCAAGUGUGGAAGAAACUGGAUCGAGGAGCUGCCGGUGGUUCUUUGGUCGAUCAGGACGAUGCCAAAUCGAGCCACUGGCCAGACACCUUUCACCCUAGUCUAUGGAGCAGAGGCAGUUCUCCCCACGGAACUCGUAUACGGAUCACCUCGAGUGCUCGCUUAUGAUGAGCUUGAGCAAGAGCAGCUGCGACAAGAUGACGCGCUGCUCCUUGAGGAGGACCGUCUUCAGGCUGUUGUACGAGCUGCUCGAUACCAGCAAGCUUUGCGCUGCUACCAUAGCCGCAAAGUUAAUGCCAGAAGCUUCGAGGAAGGCGACCUUGUUCUUCGGCGCGUUCAGUCCGCCAAGAAUUCCAACAAGUUGACGCCGAAGUGGGAAGGCCCUUACCGGGUGAAACGAGACACUAGGCCUGGCGCAGUCCGCCUUGAGACCGAAGAUGGCACUCCGGUGAGCAACUCCUGGAACAUUGAGCAUCUUCAUAAGUUUUACCCGUAGGGCGCGGUUGCCGGAACCCGUUCCAGCAACCACCUUUUGUACAAGUCUUGCCGAUGUUGCAUGUAAUCCUUUGUACAAAGCCGGGCGCAGAUCCCGUGCAUAAGUAAAGCUCAUGUGCUCCGCACAUCUUGUCAAUUUCAUGCUUUCUACCUUAUAUUUGCAUGCAUUAUCUGACACUUUGUGCAGCACAACCCCCGGUAAGCAAUAACGAGCCGGAAGGCACCAUAUCUUUAUUUUCUCUUCUUUCUUUUUCUAAUAAAGGAAAGCAAGGUUCCCUCGCACACAAGUUUGCUGGGGGAAAGGAGAAGAUUAUGAUGUGGACCAGGCAUCGUUCAAGCAAGUUUCGCCUUGCCGGAAAGCAAACGACAGAAAAGCUAAGUUGCCAAAGUUUGAGCAAUCAGUUUUUAAAUUUUUAAGUUAUAUUCCUUGAACGACCGUACUUUGUAUGGAAAACCUGUGCACGGAGGAACCAACUCAUAGCUAGUUGCGCCCUUACUUUGUUUCGAGUCCACUCAACAACUUAAGUGAGCUGCGACUAGUUGCGACAAGGUUUCUUGUCGGUAGCGGCACCGCCAGCAGGCUGCUGACGUCCCGCACUCAGCGCUCGCGGCUAAGAUGCCUGCGCCGGCAAGUUCCCUAAAAGCGUAGGGCAAAAACAUACAAAGGAAGGAAUCAAGUAAAGGGAAUAACAUAGCAAAUCUCUACCCAAAAUAGAGUUAUAUUACAAGAUAGCUUGUCGCAGCUCUAACAGAUUGUUCUCAUAACAUGACCAGCAGCAACAAAAAGAAAAAAAAACGGGCGGCCUAAUCUAUGCGAUCGCCCUCAACCCUCUUGAUCUCGCUCACCUUGUCCACAAUGGGUGCGACAAGGGCCUUGAGCGCAUCCAGAUCAGCAUCCAGCGGCAAGGAUUUGAGGACGUUGGUGAGGUUGAGGCCUGGAUUGCGGAAGGCCACCUUCACCAGCACCUUCUGAAGAACCCCCGCGCAGAUCCUGCGCGACUCGUCAGCCAGCUGCUUUGGGAUCUUCUCCCGGAGUCGCUGGAGGGCCAUCGCCACGCCCUUGAAGAACAAGCUGAGCUUGGCGCUAGGUUGGAGGUGCUCAUCGGAGGAGUACCCGAGAUCCUCCACCCCCAGCUGCGCCAACUCCCCGUCGAUGGCGGCGGCAAUAUUCACCAGACCCUCAGUCUAGUGCUCCACAGUGUCCCUAAAGGCGUCGUGGGCGGCAGCAGCACUCGCCAGCAGCGCCUCGUCGGCCUUGAUCUUCUCCGACAAGGCCACCUCCCGCUCCCUGGCGCCGUCCAGCGUUUGAGUCAAAGUAGCCAACUUCAACUCAAGAUCUGCAUUGGAGUCCUUGGCGGCGCUAAGCUCCUUGCUCCUCUCUGCGAGAAGGCCUUGCAGCUCACCAUGAGCGGCAGCAUCCUUCUCGCGCUCACGCUUGAGAGCGGCAGGCUCCUCGCCGCUCGCCCUGAGAUCGGCUUCCAGCUGCGCCACCUUCAUCUCCAGCUCCUUCUUGGCGGCCUCGGCAGCUGCGGCAGCAUCCUUUGCUUCCUUGAGAGCCCCGCCAAUUGCUUGCUCCCGCGCGGCAAGCUCCUCCUCGUGGCUGUCAAGGUUGACCUUGCGCUGCGCCAACUCUCCUUCCUGCGCAAAUAGGUUUUCGGCGACAAGCCGUUGCUUCUCUUCAACCUCGGCCUUCGCGAGGAGGAAGGCUUUCCGCUCCUCGAGAAGUUGCUCCCGCUCCUCCGCCAGGGACCGGAGAGUUUCCUGCCUCAGACCCCGAAGUUCCUCCGCGCGCUUCUCAAUAUCCACUCCCGCCUUCGCGACAAGCGCCUCUCGGGAUGCUAGCUUGGCUUGUCGGGCGCGGUAGAGCGACAGCACCUUCUGCAGCAGCCGCUCCUCCUCAGACUCGUCGCUGCUGCUGCUUGGCGCGUCGACCAGCGUCAGCCCAGCGGAGGCGAGCACUUCUCCAUCCAAAAUUUCUCCUUCGACCGGCGCCCUGGAGCUUGACGCCCAAGGGAGCUUGAUGAAGAUACCGUCGUCGGCCUUCAAGUAGGCACCGGGCUGGGGCUCUUCGGAGCCUGGCGCUGCAGCAUCGGCGGCGGGAUCAGCGGUUGGCGUAGCGCCUGGCGCUCCUGCGGCCUUGGGGCCGUCAGUGCGAUCGCCGGAUCCCUCGCCCGCUUCUGCGGCGGCAGCCUUGGCGGCCUCCUCGCCGGCAGGAUCAUCGGCACCGGCCUCUUCUUCGGUGGCCGCGGCGUCGUCGUUGUUGCCACACACGUUCUCCUCGCCGGCGGCCUCGGUUUCCAUCGGCUCCGUGGUGGGUGGAUCUGAUGACCGAAGAGGGGAGAAAGGUCAAGCGAGUAUUCAAAAGGGUUACCUGUGCUUGGAUCUGCAGUCGUGGUCUCAACCACCGGAGGAUCACUGGUGCUGCCCCUUGCCGGAGAACUGCCCCUUGCCGGAGAAUUGUCCCUUGCCGGAGAACGCUCCCUUGCCGGGGAAGCCUCCCUUGGCGGUGUAGUCAAAGCAGAUAGCACUUCGGGAGCGGCCUCCGGGUCCUCCUGGUGAGGCUGCUCUGCUCCUACACGAACCAACAGACAGAUAUCAGCAAAAGAAGAGCACCCAUGUGCGCCUGACAGCAUGAAGUAAACCAUAUACUUACGUGGGGGGCUGCGCUGGGGGCUGCUUUGAGGAAUGGUUGCCGGGUCCGACAAGGUGGUCUCGGACAUGUCCUCUACCGUCGUGGUGGGGUCGUCCUCGAUAACGAUCACCGGGGCCUUGGCUCUCUUCGCCGCUCUCUGGGCCAGAGUUCUGGAAAGGAACAGGUUCAGAGUAUAGCAAAUCAGACACAAGACAAGCCAGCAAAGAUUGAAGAACAACAAGAACAGCAAGGGAUCUUACUCUUCUUCUUCCUCGUCGGAGCUGAGAGCGGAGAGAUCGAAGUCCGGCUCGCCUCCGGUGCGACGAGGCGGAGGAGUAGGCUCCCUCGCCCGCUUGGCAGGAGCAGUGGCGGUGGACCAGGAAGACCCCGCUCCAGUUGCCGCAGCGGCGUGAGGCGCUCCCGCGGCAACGGUGCUUGCCGCGGUAGAGCGUGUCGCGCGGCUCGGCGGCUGUUGACCCGUCUGCCGCCCCGCUACGUCCGCGGCCUUGUGGAGACGCCUUCUUGGCGGGGCCGGGGGCUCCGCCUGCGGCAAGCUGUCUAAAGGCUCGGGCCCAACAAGCUCUUCCUCGCCGGGCUCGCUCGGCUCAGCUUCAGGCCCGGCAAGCUCUUCCUCACCGGCAAAGUCCUCUCGCUCGGCAAGGCUUGCCGCCUCUGCUGCCUCUGCCUCCUCCAUGGUGAACCCAAACACGCCUGCGGCAGCGGCUGCUGCCGCCUCUUCCAGCUUGGUGGCGAUGCGCUGCAUCUCCGCAUCGGUGGUGUCGCGGGUGAGGCUCUUCUGCUCAUCGGCGCGGACCGGCACUUCUACCAGGCCAUCGAAGAACUCCUGCACGAUGGUGUCUGCUGGCUCUUGCUAGGUUGGAACGAUUCCGUGAGAGUCACACAACGGCAUCAUUGCACGGAUGCGGUCAAGCGAAGAAUUGUUGCACAGCGGAACGACAUCCCGCGGCAACAUGAACGGAUGCUGGGGAUCGCGCUUGAACAGCUCCAGGAGCAUCGCGUCCAGCUCCAGAACAGUGAAGUUAAAGUUGAGGCCCGGGCGCAGCCUCAUGAUAUCCGCCGAGUUCUGGAACUCCCAGGCGGGUCUCCCCCUCUCCUGCAGGGGGGCGAUGCGGCGGCGAAGGAAAUCUGCGCCAACUGCGCCUACAGUGAGCCCGGCAAGCCUGAGGCAAAGGAUCCGGGUGACGGCGAUCUUCAGCCUGUCGUCUUCCGGGGCCACGUUGCUCCAAUCGUUGCCGCGUACUAUUGGGGCUUGGCGCAGGGCAGUGAAUGGCUGCGGGUUCUCCUCGACAAUCCAGCACCACUCUGCUCUCCAUUCAUCCCACUUGUUGCGGAGCUCUCCCUCCAGAUAGGCUUCCUUCUUGCCGACUCUCGAGAUCCAAGCGAUUCCGCCGGCAAGGGGCUCUCCUCUCUCGACUCGGGGCAUAAAGAAGUGGCGGAAGAGGGCUACGUUUGGAUGGACUCCGACAAAGUUUUCGCACAGAUGUGCGAAAACUGCCAUGGUCAGGACAGCAUUGGGGGUGAAGUCAAGGAGGCGGAACCCGUAGGUGUUCAUGAUGUCACAGAAAAAUUCAGAAUAAGGCGGGCAUAGCCCGCAGUAGAAGAACAGCGCGAAGAAGGGAUACCCGUUUGGAGCCAGUCUCGAAGUGGUAGCCGGGAGUACCUUCGUGCGCGGAUGCGCUCGCGUCUCCGUCGACCAGAAGAAGUAGUAGUACUCCCUCAGCUCCUUUGCGUCAAGCUGAGAGGGGAAGAUGGCCCGCUCCUUUCGCAGCGCCGCGAGCCGCUGCGCCUCGGCCGACUUCACGCCCUUCCCCUUGUCGGAUUUCGGAGCCAUGGCAGAAGUGGUGGGGGAGAUCGACGACGUUGGUGGUGCUGGUGGCGAUGGGGGGCGGAGCGCUGCUCUCUUUCAGCUUCGGGAAGAAGGGGGGAGCGGCGGUGAUUUUUGAGAAUGGAGUAGCAACGGGCGAAGUGGGCGAACUGCCCCUGUUUCCCCUGCUUAUAAAGAGGGAGGGGGCGGACGUUUCGCCCUUCCGAAUAAAGAAACCACCCACGAUCUCUCCCACGAUGCCGCAUUCAACGUGUGCCGUUCGGGGAAGGCACAAUGGAUACGGAGUAAGAUACGGCGUGAGCCAGGCCGCGCGUGCCCGUGCCCUGCUUUGGGCCUGGCCCAACAGCGCUCGGCACCGUGUGUGGCCCAAGCCCGGGGGCUCCUGUCGGUGUACUAGAGUAGGGGUACCCUAGUAUCCCGAACUUGUGCACGGGCAGUUGCAGCACCCCGCGGCAAGGCUUGCCGGGCAACCGCCAAGGUCCUCCAUGGUUCCCUUGGAGCCAUUCAAGAACAAAGUAUUUAAGCCAAGGAGACAAGGCCCCGGCAAGAGGAGCUUGCCGGGAAGGCCAACCAAGGCAUUUCGAGGAACUUGCCGCGACGCGCCACGCGUCCCGGCAAGGCCUGGUGAGCGACAAGCUUCCGGACGCGACAAGACAACAGCCGCGGCAAGGCGCUUGCCGCGGCAGGCUACCACUCUGUACCCACGCUCCAGCACAUCCACCAACGUGUCGCUCUGGGGGCCUUUCCAGGCGCGCGUGGCGGGAGGCUGUGCAGCCAGCGGUGCGCGGUGGCAUGCGAAGCUGACAAGACUGCCAUCGUGGCGAGCGGUGGCGCCCCUGACGGUCCCUUUUUACACUGUUUGGGCGACGUAGACGGGCAUUUAAUGCCUUUGUCCCCUGCCGUCAGGGUUAGGUAGGAUGCACUGUGCAGGUGGUUGUACCAACCGCAACCCCUUUUCCAUUUUUACCCUUCUCUGCAUUGCCACCUAUCGGUGACCCCUUGAACAUAUAAAAGGAGGCCCAUGCGCAACGUAGGGGGGUUCGCUUCAGUCGGGAACCAGAGAACACUCACGCUCGGUCUCGUGUGUACUGUAGCACUCAGCGCACCCGAGCAAGAACUCAAUACGAUCAUACAAGCAGCAGUAGGAGUAUUAUCUCUCCGGAGAGCUCCGAAGCUGGGUAAACUGCUCGUGUGCUUCGCCUCGAUCCGCUCUUCGUGCGAUCUCCGCCCCCCCCGCCGAACUGAAAGGGGCUCGGUCCGCCGGCCCCAUAGGUGUUCAUGGAUCAGCUUCCCCGACACAUCCCAUUAUGACAUCAUUUUGCAUCGUGGUUGCAUUGCUCAUAUUUAUAAAACAUUUGUGUACACAAUGAUUGCUUUUCCUCCCAUGAAUGCUUUGCAUCUCUUUCUAGAUCAUCUUGAUAAGCUUCAUGCACUUUGUCACGACCAAUCUUGCCGCACAGACUCAUUCUUACAUGAUGGACACUUUGUGUGUGCUAACCAUUGCAUUUCCGAGUGUUGCUUGUGUUUGCUCUUUUUGCAUGUCUAUCGUUUCGGCGACACCUUGGACUACUUGGAGUGCACCAUGUCUUCAACUUCAUCCAACUACAAGUCCGUCCACGACAACCGUUUCCAUGGUGAUGAGGAUCACGAUCCGAGGUCGGAUCUUUCACAAGGGGGGGGGGAGAUGAUGCGGAGCAUCCCACGUUCAUCCCCAUGUACACUCCGACUACUCUCCAAGCCCCAAGAGGACAUAUGAUGAGACCUCGAAGAUACACCUUUGGACACAAGGUGAACUCGCUCCUCUCCGAACCUUCACUUUCCACAUGUGAGACAUGGCUACUACCUCAAACGUGUGUGCUAUGCAUGUCCAGGAACCAAGAGGAAGGCCAUGGAACAACUACGAGCAUUGGACAAGACGGCGAGGACACCAAGCGCAUGGAAGUGAAGAAGGAAGAGAACCUGGCCGCUCCAGAACGAGCGGUACUACCGCCCACUCCAGGCGGUACUACCGCUGAAGCCACCGAAGCGGAACAACCGGCUGACUACCGCCCAACAACCGGUCCACCUUCUGUGAUCGAGCAGAGCAAGGCCGGUGCUGCACCGGUUUUACCGGUUUCUGCCAUAAGACCAGAACAACCGCCCCGAUGACCGGAACAACCGCUGCCCCUUCGGCAUACACCUCCAGAAGCCAGGGCUUGGGCUUCGAGCGGAACUACCGCCCCGUCUGACCGGUACUUCCGCCCCAAACGAGUUACCAGCGGUACAACCGGCCACAUGUCCGGUACAACCGGCCUGUCUGCGCACAGUGUAUUGGGCCGAGCCCGUGUACCCCUUCGCCCUCACUUACCCCUUCGUGGCUCUAGACUAUAUAUACUCCUCCACCUCCUCCUAGUUAGGUUUAUCAUUGGAUUAGCUCAUAUUUGUGUGAGAGCCUUUGCUCAUCCACUUGGAUACUUCUCCUCGGAGUUCACGACCUCUUCGGAGAAGAUCCCCCAAGCGGAUUCAAGACCCCUUUCUAGGGAAGAACAUCAAGGCCUCCUCGCGGAGAAGAACGGUUCCUUUGUAUCCUUACCUUUGUUGAUCUUGAACCU
rnacentral:lncRNA from 1 species